rnacentral:misc_RNA from 1 species
UAAUAAGUGUUUUAUGGCACUUUUUAAAUCCAUAUCACCUUGUGUGCAAUGUCAGUCGAUCUUCUUCAUGGAGAUCGACCAAACAUCAACCUUUAUCUUUUAACCUCUUUGUCUGAAAAAUAUUAUGAAUAAACAAUUCAAAAUA